rnacentral:lncRNA from 1 species
ACCCGCGGGGCUCAGCCCCGAAGGCUGCAGCUUCGGGGGAGGCGCGGUCGCCGAGGUCCAGCUGGUGGGGCGAGAGACGUCGCCCCUCGGAGGAUGCUCUCGGAACUUGGGAGAGGAAGGAGGGAAGAGAAGAGGGGAAAGGGGCCGUCGAUGUUUUUGAUGUCUGUGCUUUAAUGGAGGCCACCAAUAUUGAGAAGACGGGGUUGGCCGAGGCAGCCCGCACGCUGCUGCUUGCGAGCGCUCGAGUCAAAGCUAGGGCCAACCGCGGCUUGUCCGGGUGCCCUAAGGGGGCGGACACUUGGUUUAGCACCGGGACACAGAAUAGCCACCGGGGUAGGAAGAUGCGUUCACUUUGCUUACCUGUUGGCAAGAGGGACAUACAAAAAUAACGUAACGUGACAUCGUUGACAACGGUAGCUCUUUGAUUACACAAAAGCCAAUUUUACCUUCCCGCAAAAGCCAGUUGACGCCUUUGGAACUUUUAUUUGCGGCAUUUUGGCGCCCUCUGGCUGUGUUUGGAUCGCUUUCAUGCUCGCCUGCGUCCCAGCCAAGAAAAAAUCGAUGGAGCUGCAGGUUGUCCUCAGGAUGGUUCUGCCCUCAGGACCUGGGCGUGAAUUCAGGGACAGGGUGGCCCUCCAGAACCGGAGUGACAAACUGUAACCAUACUUAGGGAGGCAGACGUCAAAGGCAAGUACAUCUGUAUUCAACUGGGUAAAGGAAGAGUUUUUCAGCCUGGCGUGGUGGCUCAC